rnacentral:rRNA from 1 species
UACGAAGGGGGCUAGCGUUGCUCGGAAUCACUGGGCGUAAAGGGCGCGUAGGUGGCCUUCUUAGUCAGACGUGAAAUCCCCGGGCUUAACUCGGGAACUGCGUCUGAUACUGGAAGGCUCGAGUUCGGGAGGGGAAUGUGGAAUUCCAGGUGUAGCGGUGAAAUGCGUAGAUAUCUGGAGGAACACCGAUGGCGAAGGCAAUCCCCUGGGCCUGCACUGACGCUCAUGCACGAAAGCGUGGGGAGCAAACAGG